GCCUGGGUGGCUCAGUUGGUUAAGCAUCUGACUUCAGCUCGGGUCACGAUCUUGCAGUUUGUGGGUUCAAGUCCCACGUUGGGCU
rnacentral:tRNA from 1 species